AACGAACGCUGGCGGCAGGCUUAACACAUGCAAGUCGAACGGACGUAGCAAUACGUUAGUGGCAGACGGGUGAGUAACGCGUGGGAAUGUGCCCUUUAGUUCGGAAUAACACAGAGAAAUUUGUGCUAAUACCGGAUAAGCCCGAGAGGGGAAAGAUUUAUCGCUGAAGGAGCAGCCCGCGUCUGAUUCGCUAGUCGGUGGGGUAAUGGCUACCCAAGGACGAUCAGUAGCUGGUCUGAGAGGAUGAUCAGCCACACUGGGACUGAGACACGGCCCAGACUCCUACGGGAGGCAGCAGUGGGGAAUAUUGGACAAUGGGGGCAACCCUGAUCCAGCCAUGCCGCGUGAGUGAUGAAGGCCUUAGGGUUGUAAAACUCUUUUGUCCGGGAAGAUAAUGACUGUACCGGAAGAAUAAGCCCCGGCUAACUUCGUGCCAGCCGCCGCAGUAAGAC
rnacentral:rRNA from 1 species